GGCGAGAUGGCCGAGCGGUCUAAGGCGCCAGACUAAGGUACUGCCUGAUUUCAGGCGUCACUUGACAUCUGGUCCGAAAGGGCGUGGGUUCGAAUCCCACUCUCGUCA